rnacentral:rRNA from 1 species
CCCUUAGAUGUUCUGGGCCGCACGCGCGCUACACUGUUCGACGCAGCGAGUCUUAACCUUGACCGAAAGGUUUGGGUAAUCUUCAGCAAAGUCGAACGUGAUGGGGAUCGAUCAUUGCAAUUAUUGAUCGUGAACGAGGAAUUCCUAGUAAGUGCAAGUCAUCAGCUUGCGCUGAUUACGUCCCUGCCCUUUGUACACACCGCCCGUCGCUACUACCGAUUGAAUGGUUUAGUGAGAUCUCUGGAUUGACGCUGGCUAGGGGGCGACCCUUGGCCAGACUGCUCGAGAAACUGCUCAAACUUGAUCAUUUAGAGGAAGGAGAAGUCGUAACA